AAAUAAGUCAACUAUUGUCGUCCAAAUACAGGUCGAUAAAAAUCAGUUGACCAACACGCUGCAUAUUCCGGGGUUCGGAACAACAGAGAGCAUAUUUUACGUUCUGGGGACGGACUACACCAGAUAUGGAAUAAUCUACGGCUGUGAAGAGUAUGGAAAUCAACAUUUUCACAGGGUCUGGAUUGUCACCCGAGAACGCUUUCCACCAGCGAGUACGAAUAUUAGUCAAAUAGUUAGAAGAGCGUUUGAGA